AUCACCUGGGGACCUUGUUAAAUUUCAAAUUCAGAUUCAGGAGGUCUGGGAUGUGCCUGAGAUUCUGCAUUUCUAACAAGUUCCAGGCAAUGGCA
rnacentral:miRNA from 1 species